GAUGAACGCUGGCGGCGUGCCUAAUAGAUGCAAGUCGAGCGAACGGACGAGAAGCUUGCUUCUCUGAUGUUAGCGGCGGACGGGUGAGUAACACGUGGAUAACCUACCUAUAAGACUGGGAUAACUUCGGGAAACCGGAGCUAAUACCGGAUAAUAUUUUGAACCGCAUGGUUCAAAAGUGAAAGACGGUCUUGCUGUCACUUAUAGAUGGAUCCGCGCUGCAUUAGCUAGUUGGUAAGGUAACGGCUUACCAAGGCAACGAUGCAUAGCCGACCUGAGAGGGUGAUCGGCCACACUGGAACUGAGACACGGUCCAGACUCCUACGGGAGGCAGCAGUAGGGAAUCUUCUGCAAUGGGCGAGAGCCUGACGGAGCAACGCCGCGUGAGUGAUGAAGGUCUUCGGAUCGUAAAACUCUGUUAUUAGGGAAGAACAUAUGUGUAAGUAACUGUGCACAUCUUGACGGUACCUAAUCAGAAAGCCACGGCUAACUACGUG
rnacentral:rRNA from 1 species